rnacentral:rRNA from 1 species
GGCGACCGGCGCACGGGUGCGCACCGCGUAUGGAACCUACCUUGUACAGGGGAAUAGCCCAGGGAAACUUGGAUUAAUGCCCCGUAGUACCGUAUUUCGGCAUCGUUAUACGGUUAAAGUCUUCGGGCGGUACAAGAUGGCCAUGCGUCCCAUUAGCUGGUUGGUAAGGUAACGGCUUACCAAGGCUACGAUGGGUAGGGGCCCUGAGAGGGGGAUCCCCCACACUGGUACUGAGACACGGACCAGACUCCUACGGGAGGCAGCAGUGAGGAAUAUUGGACAAUGGAGGGGACUCUGAUCCAGCCAUGCCGCGUGCAGGAAGAAUGCCCUAUGGGUAGUAAACUGCUUU